rnacentral:rRNA from 1 species
GACAGAGGCCUCAAGCGUUAGGCGGAAGUCAACUGGGCUUAAAGCGUGUGUAGGCGGGUCGUUAAGUACCUUGUGAAAUCCCACGGCUCACCCGUGGAACUGCUGGGUAUACGUGGCGAUCUUGGGGCCAUUCAGGGGGCAACUGGAACAAGCGGUGGAGCGGAUGAAAUGCGUAGAUAUCGCUUGGAACGCCAAAGGUGAAAACAGGUUCGCUGGGAAUGUGCCGACGCUGGAGACACGGAAAGCCAGGGGAGCAAACGGG